rnacentral:rRNA from 1 species
AGGACGAACGCUGGCGGCGUGCUUAACACAUGCAAGUCGAGCGGUAAGGCCUUUCGGGGUACACGAGCGGCGAACGGGUGAGUAACACGUGGGUGAUCUGCCCUGCACUUCGGGAUAAGCCUGGGAAACUGGGUCUAAUACCGGAUAUGACCUCCUAUCGCAUGGUGGGUGGUGGAAAGAUUUAUCGGUGCAGGAUGGGCCCGCGGCCUAUCAGCUUGUUGGUGGGGUAAUGGGCCUACCAAGGCGACGACGGGUAGCCGACCUGAGAGGGUGACCGGCACACUGGGACUGAGACACGGCCCAGACUCCUACGGGAGGCAGCAGUGGGGAAUAGUUGCACAAUGGGCGAAAGCCUGAUGCAGCGACGCCGCGUGAGGAUGGACGCCUUCGGGUUGUAACCGUCUUCAGUCGAGGACGAAGCGCGAAGUGACGGUACCUGCGAGAAGAAGCACCGGCUAACGUACGUCG